GAAACGGGCGCUAAUACCGCAUACGUCCUGAGGGAGAAAGUGGGGGAUCUUCGGACCUCACGCUAUCAGAUGAGCCUAGGUCGGAUUAGCUAGUUGGUGGGGUAAAGGCCUACCAAGGCGACGAUCCGUAACUGGUCUGAGAGGAUGAUCAGUCACACUGGAACUGAGACACGGUCCAGACUCCUACGGGAGGCAGCAGUGGGGAAUAUUGGACAAUGGGCGAAAGCCUGAUCCAGCCAUGCCGCGUGUGUGAAGAAGGUCUUCGGAUUGUAAAGCACUUUAAGUUGGGAGGAAGGGCAGUAAGUUAAUACCUUGCUGUUUUGACGUUACCAAACAGAAUAAGCACCGGCUAACUUCGUGCCAGCAGCCGCGGUAAUACGAAGGGUGCAAGCGUUAAUCGGAAUUACUGGGCGUAAAGCGCGCGUAGGUGGUUCAGCAAGUUGGAUGUGAAAUCCCCGGGCUCAACCUGGGAACUGCAUCCAAAACUACUGAGCUAGAGUACGGUAGAGGGGUGGUGGAAUUUCCUGUGUAGCGGUGAAAUGCGUAGAUAUAGGAAGGAACACCAGUGGCGAA
rnacentral:rRNA from 1 species